rnacentral:rRNA from 1 species
AGCGGCGGACGGGUGAGUAAUGCUUAGGAAUCUGCCUAUUAGUGGGGGACAACAUUCCGAAAGGGAUGCUAAUACCGCAUACGCCCUACGGGGGAAAGCAGGGGAUCUUCGGACCUUGCGCUAAUAGAUGAGCCUAAGUCGGAUUAGCUAGUUGGUGGGGUAAAGGCCUACCAAGGCGACGAUCUGUAGCGGGUCUGAGAGGAUGAUCCGCCACACUGGGACUGAGACACGGCCCAGACUCCUACGGGAGGCAGCAGUGGGGAAUAUUGGACAAUGGGGGGAACCCUGAUCCAGCCAUGCCGCGUGUGUGAAGAAGGCCUUUUGGUUGUAAAGCACUUUAAGCGAGGAGGAGGCGCUCUAGGCUAAUACCCUAGAUGCGUGGACGUUACUCGCAGAAUAAGCACCGGCUAACUCUGUGCCAGCAGCCGCGGUAAUACAGAGGGUGCGAGCGUUAAUCGGAUUUACUGGGCGUAAAGCGCGCGUAGGUGGCUAAUUAAGUCAAAUGUGAAAUCCCCGAGCUUAACUUGGGAUUGCAUUCGAUACUGGUUAGCUAGAGUAUGGGAGAGGAUGGUAGAAUUCCAGGUGUAGCGGUGAAAUGCGUAGAGAUCUGGAGGAAUACCGAUGGCGAAGGCAGCCAUCUGGCCUAAUACUGACACUGAGGUGCGAAAGCAUGGGGAGCAAACAGAUUAGAUACCCUGGUAGUCCAUGCCGUAAACGAUGUCUACUAGCCGUUGGGGCCUUUGAGGCUUUAGUGGCGCAGCUAACGCGAUAAGUAGACCGCCUGGGGAGUACGGUCGCAAGACUAAAACUCAAAUGAAUUGACGGGGGCCCGCACAAGCGGUGGAGCAUGUGGUUUAAUUCGAGCAACGCGAAGAACCUUACCUGGCCUUGACAUACAGAGAACUUUCCAGAGAUGGAUUGGUGCCUUCGGGAACUCUGAUACAGGUGCUGCAUGGCUGUCGUCAGCUCCUGUCGUGAAAUGUUGGGUUAAGUCCCGCAACGAGCGCAACCCUUUUCCUUACUUGCCAGCAUUUCGGAUGGGAACUUUAAGGAUACUGCCAGUGACAAACUGGAGGAAGGCGGGGACGACGUCAAGUCAUCAUGGCCCUUACGGCCAGGGCUACACACGUGCUACAAUGGUCGGUACAAAGGGUUGCUACACAGCGAUGUGAUGCUAAUCUCAAAAAGCCGAUCGUAGUCCGGAUUGGAGUCUGCAACUCGACUCCAUGAAGUCGGAAUCGCUAGUAAUCGCGGAUCAGAAUGCCGCGGUGAAUACGUUCCCGGGCCUUGUACACACCGCCCGUCACACCAUGGGAGUUUGUUGCACCAGGAAGUAGGUAGUCUAACCUUAGGGAGGACGCUAACCACGGUG